rnacentral:rRNA from 1 species
UAGGGAAUCUUCGGCAAUGGGGGCAACCCUGACCGAGCAACGCCGCGUGAGUGAAGAAGGUUUUCGGAUCGUAAAGCUCUGUUGUAAGUCAAGAACGGGUGUGAGAGUGGAAAGUUCACACUGUGACGGUAGCUUACCAGAAAGGGACGGCUAACUACGUGCCAGCAGCCGCGGUAAUACUAGGUCCCGAGCGUUGUCCGGAUUUAUUGGGCGUAAAGCGANCGC